CCUACGGGUGGCAGCAGUGGGGAAUAUUGGACAAUGGGCGAAAGCCUGAUCCAGCCAUGCCGCGUGUGUGAAGAAGGCCUUCGGGUUGUAAAGCACUUUCAGUGGGGAAGAAAGCCUUGGGGCUAAUACCCUCGAGGAAGGACAUCACCCACAGAAGAAGCACCGGCUAACUCCGUGCCAGCAGCCGCGGUAAUACGGAGGGUGCGAGCGUUAAUCGGAAUUACUGGGCGUAAAGCGCGCGUAGGCGGUCUGAUAAGCCGGUUGUGAAAGCCCCGGGCUCAACCUGGGAACGGCAUCCGGAACUGUCAGGCUAGAGUGCAGGAGAGGAAGGUAGAAUUCCCGGUGUAGCGGUGAAAUGCGUAGAGACCGGGAGGAAUACCAGUGGCGAAGGCGGCCUUCUGGACUGACACUGACGCUGAGGUGCGAAAGCGUGGGUAGCAAACAGGAUUAGAUACCCCAGUAGUC
rnacentral:rRNA from 1 species